rnacentral:rRNA from 1 species
GACAGAGGGUGCAAACGUUGCUCGGAAUCACUGGGCGUAAAGGGCGUGUAGGCGGGAAGGAUAGUCAGAUGUGAAAGCCCUGGGCUCAACCCAGGAAGUGCACUCGAAACUCCCGAGCUGGAGUCCCGGAGAGGAAGGCGGAAUUCUCGGUGUAGAGGUGAAAUUCGUAGAUAUCGAGAGGAACAUCGGUGGCGAAGGCGGCCUUCUGGACGGUGACUGACGCUGAGGCGCGAAAGCGUGGGGAGCAAACAGG